rnacentral:misc_RNA from 1 species
CUUACGGGUCGCACCCCGUUGCCAUUCCUUUCCAAUUGGUAAGAAAGCAAAAAUAAAAUAUUCCCACGCUAGUGGGCUGCCAUGAUUGAUUAGCAUCUGCAUUUGAGAAUAGAUGAAAUAGAGGCAGUGUUAAAUUCAAUCCACCAACUACAUUCUUUCUUGCUUUUGGCGUUUGCAAAACGCACUCUCCUUCCUUUCUUCCUCUCAGGAUCUCAGUUGCUGUUACAUCCGUCCACAAAAAUGGAAGAUACUGCCGUUUUGAACUCUAAUCAGAAGCCGACGAUCGUGGUCACCAACGACGACGGUAUUGACGCACCAGGACUUCUUUCUCUGGUUCGCGUCCUCGUCUCCACUCAUCGCUUCCACGUACUGGUUUGCGCGCCUGAUUCGGAAAAAUCGGCCGUCAGUCAUUCUAUUACUUGGCGCCAUCCCAUAUCUGCUAGGCGAGUAUACAUUGAAGGAGCAACAGCCUUUGCAGUUUCUGGCACUCCAGCUGAUUGUGCUUCUUUAGGAGUCUCCAAAGCACUCUUUCCUACAAUUCCUGAUCUGGUAGCUAUGUGCUUUAAUUUGUAGUUAUGGAAAUCUGAAUUAACCAACUGCUAGAGUGGAUUUAUUUAAUAUUGUAACUUGUUGCUCCCAUUUUUGAAUGUAUAUAUUUCUCUUCUUCUAUAAUGUGUCCCUACCAAAUGACUUUCGUAGUUUCACUUUCAUGGCUUAGGAGUUGCAAUCACCAAUGACAAGACAAUAUUACUCCUUAAUCAAUAUUCUCUAAUCUUUCUUAGUUUAGGUCACUUUGUUGCACAUUCUGCUCUGCGCUGAACAAUAUACUUGCACACAUCCUUUUUACAUGUUUAGGUUCUGUUGAUCAACAAGCUGCUGUAUGAAGGUGCUAAUAUAUUUUCCUAUUUCUUCAAACAGGUAAUCAGUGGUAUAAACAUGGGGAGCAAUUGCGGCUAUCACAUGUUAGUAGUGUUACAUUUCUGUACCUUUCUUAUUUUCCUAAAAUUUUCAGCUGCAUAAUUCCAUUUCCUCACUGUAGCUUCUCCUUUUCCUUCCUUCACACCCUCUCUUAAAAUUUUGUAAGAGAACAGAAAUUGAGUUCGGGGGACAGGAAGCAUUUCCUAACAUUAGGCGAUCAAACAAGAUAGGGUCCCUGUAACCACUGGGGCUUAUGAGUAUCUUGCCACAAUGUAUUUUUGUUUUAGUUACCUGCACAGGUUAUGCUUAUGGAUACCUCAAUAAAAUUUCAGUGUUUACUCUGGUACUGUUGCUGGUGCUCGGGAGGCCUUCUUCAAUGAUAUACCUUCUGUCUCCAUUUCAUACGAUUGGAUUGGAGGUAAAAGCACUAUUCAGGACUUCACACUUGCAGCUGAAGCUUGCACACCAAUCAUAGGUGCUGUUCUUGUUGAGAUUAAGAAUCAAACUUAUCCUUCAGGUUGUUUUCUGAAUAUUGAUUUACCAACAAAUGUUGCUAAUCAUAAGGUAAAUUUCAGGCUAGCUUGUUAAAAUAUUGCAGUAUCAGUGAUGCAUAUAAACUUAAGGAACAUUUUAGCAUUGACAUUUCUAUUGGAUGCAUCUUCAUUUCAUUUCGCAUCUUGGUGAAUGCUGAUGGAAACCUUGGGCAGAAAAGGAAGCCAAAUCAGGAACUAUUAAUGGAAAAAAAUCAGAGAAAUUUUUUAAAAUAAUUCCCCUCAGUUUGUACUAAACCGUCAAUUGAAUCCUGUUUGACAUGUUCUUUUAUUGAUUUAUAAAUUGUUUUCGUGCAUGGUUCAGUUUGUUUUGAACUAAUGGAACUUUCAGUUAUAAACCUUAAAUGUACAGGCUCGUGCACUUGCACAUGUAGAUUGGAUCUAUGUGAUUCUUGCCCUUUAGCUGAAAUAUGUUUGUCUGCCCAUAUCAGAUUAAUUUUAUUUUUCUUGGUGGGAUGUGUGAAAAAAGAGUCAGUCUGAUGACGGAAAGGAGGGCUGGUGUCACAACCCAUUUCAUUUGUCAUUCUUAUAUUUUUAUGUGUUGCAUGUACAUCCUUCUUAGUUUGGAGCAUAUGCCCUGUCGCAUUAUAGCUUUGUAGCUUAUCAUAAGAUUAUUAGUGAUUCUAUUAUGCUUAUAAACUGAAAUGUUAUUUUAUGUCUUGGCUGUUUCCUGUGCCUCCUUAAGGGAUAUAAGCUGACUAAGCAGGGUAAAAGCAUAUUCAGGAUGGGGUGGAAGCAAGUUACUUCUGGCACAGAAGGAGGGAAAAUGUUAUCAACAAUGACAAUGGACACAAAUUCAGCUGUGCAAACAGAAACUGGUGCAUCAAAUGUAGCACAAGAACAUAUGUGGUUUAGGAGAGAAGUGGGUUCCUUUCUUUAGUAAAUGUUCAUCCAUUUAUUUUAUUUUGUUCCCAUUUUUCUGCUUAAUAGAUAUUCCUGUCAUAGUGUUAUUUGCAAUUUUUUGUCUAAAGGUAAAACUUUUACCUGGACAAAUGAUGGGUGAGAUUCUUUGUCAUUUGGGAUAACAAAUGCAGUGUGCUCCUUGCCCCUUCAUCACAUUUUUCCUUUUUAAGAUUUUCUUUAUCUCCUUUCCUUUUCUCCUAAGACCACUUUCUGCUCAUAUUUGGGUGGGGAAGGCAUCCUUCUCAGUGAGCAGAAUUGGAUUGGUAGGUCACAUGGCUCAACAAGUGGACCUAUAGAAUAUAGAAUCAAUUGAACAAGGACUAAUGUCAAAUUAUUGAACUUUUUCAGUUUGAACUAAAUAUUUUGAUUACAUUAUUAUCAAUCAGCAAUUCAAAAUGAAAGAAAAUGUAGUUGAUUCGGGCUACUGUUUAUGGAUAGCUCAGAUAAUUGUUAUGUGCUCAUUAGAAAACACACUACUUGAGGGAUGUUAAAAUUUCUAAUCUUUCUUUCCGCCCUUUUCUUUCUUAGAAUACUGUGUUCUUAAAUUUAAGAAAUGUUUGGCCCUUCAAUUCUUACAGGUAAAGGGAGAGGAAGUUGAUGAUGAUGAUACAGAUCACAAAUUUCUUCGGGACGGAUAUAUUACUGUAACUCCCCUUGGUGCCCUCUCCCAAGUAGAGACAGGCUGCCUAGAUUACUUUAACGAUUGGCUGCCAGGCGUGGUUGACCGCUCAUCUCCAUCAGCCUUAUAAUGCUGGGAUCUCUCAAGCGGUAAAACACCGUGACAUGAGCCUUGCAAGUUUCAUUUAUUAAGGCUUGACUGUACCACAUAAUAAAAACCAUUUGAGGGAAAAAUUUUAUAAUUUAUUUGUUUUCUUAUUUCGAACCAAUUAUCACUGUGUAUGAAUACCUUGCAUCCUCAUGUGCUCAUACAUCACUUUCCCAUUUGUUUCUUUAUCGUUUAUCAUGAUUAUCUUGCUCACAAGUCCCAACAUAGCCAUCUAGAUAUUUGCUUCAUAAGUUUUGAGGAUUGAAUUAGGUCAUGCAGAAUAAACAUAUUGUGAAAUUUUGAAGUAUGGCUUGCAGUAGCAGAAGAAAGAAGAUAACAAACAUUUGGCUUCCAAAAUGAAGUGCCUAAUUCCAAAUACGUAUUUUCGGUUGUUUCUUAAUUUCUUCUAGUUAUGCUUGAGUCCUAAUUAUCUGAAAUCCCUUACCUGUAAUUGAGAUUUGCUUAAAUAUGACCUAAACAUGAUAGGUCAUGUUUAUAUAAACAUGAGAGAUCUUGAUCCAGAUAGGAGCAUUGCUUCUAAAUCUUCCACCUUUUUUCAUUUUUUUCUGGCUGAAAAUUUGUUAAUUUUAUGCGGAACUGUUGUUAAUUGAA